CUGGUCAUAUCAUGUUAAAACACCAGUUCUUAUUCAAACACCAAAGUUAAGUAACAUUGAGCCUGAUUAGUACCUAGAUGGGUGACUGCUUGGGAAUACCAGGUACUGUAAG